AACGAACGCUGGCGGCAUGCCUAACACAUGCAAGUCGAACGAGACCUUCGGGUCUAGUGGCGCACGGGUGCGUAACGCGUGGGAACCUGCCCUUAGGUUCGGAAUAACUCCCCGAAAGGGGUGCUAAUACCGGAUAAUGUCUUCGGACCAAAGAUUUAUCGCCUUUGGAUGGGCCCGCGUUGGAUUAGCUAGUUGGUAGGGUAAAAGCCUACCAAGGCGACGAUCCAAAGCUGGCCUGAGAGGAUGAUCAGCCACACUGGGACUGAGACACGGCCCAGACUCCUACGGGAGGCAGCAGUGGGGAAUAUUGGACAAUGGGCGAAAGCCUGAUCCAGCAAUGCCGCGUGAGUGAUGAAGGCCUUAGGGUUGUAAAGCUCUUUUACCCGGGAUGAUAAUGACAGUACCGGGAGAAUAAGCUCCGGCUAACUCCGUG
rnacentral:rRNA from 1 species